rnacentral:rRNA from 1 species
GAUCCUGGCUCAGGAUGAGCGCUAGCUACAGGCUUAACACAUGCAAGUCGAGGGGAAACGAUAUUGGAGGCUUGCUUCCGAUAGGCGUCGACCGGCGCACGGGUGAGUAACACGUAUCCAACCUGCCGAUAACUCGGGGAUAACCCUUCGAAAGAAGGCCUAAUACCCGAUGGCAUAUCCCUUCCGCCUGGUUGGGAUAUUAAAGAACUUCGGUUAUCGAUGGGGAUGCGUUCCAUUAGCUUGUUGGCGGGGUAACGG